CCUCCAAGAAUAGUGUUCUCUUCCAUACCAAAUCCGGAAGUGAUCGCAUGUGCUCGGGCACGUGUGUGCUUCACGUUCAAGAAAAUCCCACAUUCUGUGUGAUCGCAGGUAUUUCCCGAGCACGGAGCUAGCUAGGAUGGGGAAGAAUAGACAAAAGAGCCGCCCGGCGAGUAAGGGUGGAAAUGCAGGAAGCCAGCAGAAGAACGUUUUCUCUGUAUCCAAGCAUCAAGCCAUGAAAGCAAAGAGGAAAGCAAAAUCCAUCAAUGUGAAAAAGUUGAAUUCUCAGGUACGUCAGGAAGUGAGAAGAGUGAACAGAACAACAACAAACUUGCAAGAGGAACUAGUAAAUGUACAAAAGGACACAGAGACACAAAAGAAGAAAACACAUCUGAAGGCCAACUCAAACCCAGCUACGGUUCAACCUCCACCAGACAUGGAUGCUGCUGCACUACAAUUUGCUAUGUUAUAAUAUCAAGCCAACAAAAACUCUUGUCAUAAUUACUUAUUAUUAUAUUGUUAUUAUUACUUAUUACUCCAAACAUA